rnacentral:rRNA from 1 species
UACAGAGGUCCCAAGCGUUGUUCGGAUUUACUGGGCGUAAAGAGCGCGCAGGCGGUCGUUCAAGUCGCGUGUGAAAGCCCCCGGCUCAACUGGGGAGGGUCACGCGAUACUGAUCGACUCGAAGGCAGGAGAGGGUAGUGGAAUUCCCGGUGUAGUGGUGAAAUGCGUAGAUAUCGGGAGGAACACCAGUGGCGAAGGCGACUACCUGGCCUGUUCUUGACGCUGAGGCGCGAAAGCUAGGGGAGCAAACGGG